CUGCCUGCAUUAGCAUGACUAGAUAAGGCGAGCCCAGCAUUGGCCAGCCCCACCUGUCAUUGGUUCAAGGGGAGGCGGGGGAGCCACGGCGGCGGAGGGAAUUGUUUAAUCCCCCGUCACCGUCUCCUAUCGCCAUCACCCCACCCGUCCCCCUUGGUCCAGGCGCAGGCGCGAGCGCGACGUCCGGCGUCCGGCUUCGGCGGCGGAGUGGAGCGAUCCCGAUCCCCACAAGGAAUUCCAUCGCUGUCGUGGCGUUUGGUGGCGCUCCUCCCGGCCGGCAAGCAGGAUCAGGUACCCUCCCGUCCCGGAUCCUCCCAACCGUUCCGUUUCCCGCGGCCGGGCUGGCUUAGUUCUGCGGCGCUGGUUGCCAUUUCGGGCCAAAUUUGUUGCGUGAAGCGGAAGGAUUUGGAUUGAAUGGCACGCGUUGUUUCCAGUCGACGCCCUCUUGGCUUGCCUUUGGCUGUAGGAAAUCGCACGGAGGUGAGGAUACACGGGUGCGGAACGAGAGCUAGGCGAACCUGUCUGGUACCUCGCGGCGGAGAUGGACGAGAAGGCGACGAUGGAGAGCAAGCUGUCCUCGGCGGCGGCCUUCGUGGAGGGGGGCGUGCAGGACGCCUGCGACGACGCCUGCAGCAUCUGCCUCGACGCCUUCUGCGACAGCAACCCCUCCACGAUGACCAAGUGCAAGCAUGACUACCAUCUUCAGUGCAUUCUUGAAUGGUGCCAGAGAAGCUCCCAGUGCCCCAUGUGUUGGCAGCAUAUCAGCAUGAAAGAUCCUAUGAGCCAAGAGCUACUAGAGGCUGUUGAACAAGAGAGGAACAUCCGAGCUAAUCCUUCACGUAAUACUGCUGUUUUCCACCAUCAAAUGCUGGGUGAUUUUGAGAUCCCUGUAGGUGCAGAUGAUGCAGAACUUGAAGAACGCAUUAUUCAGCACUUGGCUGCCGCAGCUGCAGUGCGUAGGUCACACCGUCAUCAUAAUAGAAGAGAUGGGCACCAGAGCAGAUCAGAAGCAAGUAGCCACCCACAGUUUCUGGUGCUCUCAGCAGACGAGCGCACAAUCUCAGGUCAAGAAGGGGACUACGAACAAGCAUCUGCUGUAGCUUCUGGCCGCCCUUUACGUACACUUGUUGAACAAGAACGCACUCGAGGGUUAGCGGAUGCUUCCAGUCCAUCUCUCCGUUGUUCUACUCCUGCUGAUAGUACUGGUAGAUCAAACAAUAGGUAUUUCCGACAUCGAUUUCUGGGAUCGAAUCUACACCUGUGGAUCAAGACGGAACUGGACCAUCCGCUUUACAAUCAAUGGUACAGGGAUUUCAUAAUCAAAGUGCAAGUGGAUGGAGGGAGAGGUGGUUUUCUCGGAGCAACUCUUUACUGGAUCUUGGUUCUGAGGUGAGGAGGGAGGUCAACGCGGGGAUUGCUGCGGUGUCUCGCAUGAUGGAAUGGCACGAUGCAAGGGACGGGACGGGAGCGGGGCCUUCUCCUACCUCUGCAUCAAGAUCUGGUUCUCAGUGAAACACUCUGCACUUGAAAGGACCGAUGCAAAUGUAAAGAUUAAGCUAUUGUUUGAGGAGCACUUUAGGAAGACAAUCACCUUGCAACUUCUCUAGCAUAUAUGAAUUUUUGAAAACCACCUUAGUCACUUUUAGUAGGUCUUUCCAGCUUGAUGACCACUUGUUAACUUGAUGCUCUUCAUCCUAAAAGGUACAAUAGUCUUGAUUAAAUUCCUAAGGGCUUGUUCGGUUAGCUCUCAAUCCAUGUGGAUUGGGUGAGAAUAAAUUUCUCUCUAUAUAUCAGUUUUUUGUGUCACAUUAUCAACAUUUCAUACCUUACUUUUUUUUAGGAGCAGCUAUUGUUUGAGGAGCACUUUAGGAAGACAAUCACCUUGCAACUUCUCUAGCAUAUAUGAAUUUUUGAAAACCACCUUGGUCACUUUUAGUAGGUCUUUCUUGUUAACUUGAUGCUCUUCAUCCUAAAAGGUACAAUAGUCUUGAUUAAAUUCCUAAGGGCUUGUUCGGUUAGCUCUCAAUCCAUGUGGAUUGAGUGGGAUUUGGUGGGUUUAAAUCCCAAGCAAGUCAAAGUUGUUCUAAAUUUUUUCCAAUCCCAUUCAAUCCAUGUAUUGUAGGAAUAACCGAAAAAGGCCUAACUUGGAAAAAUUUGCUUUCCACCACCUUGUUAUAAGGUCCACCAACUCUAGCUUUAUCCUUCUCACUAUACUUCAAAGUUUGUAUUGUCUUGUCAGUCACCUCGUCCAUAUUAUCCAUCAUCAUAUCAUGUUACAUAACACAAAUAAAUCAUUUUUCUUUGCAA